rnacentral:lncRNA from 1 species
UGCUUAUUUCGAUGACGUCACCGGUCACGUGAUAGUCUCCACCAACUGCACCGUUAUUUCCAAGCAAGCAAUUUUUUUUUCUGCAAAUGGGAAUCUUUAACAAAUGGAUUGAAGUAGAUUCAAUGCAGAUCUUGGGCUUUAUCAUCAGUGAACAUCACAAUCCUGAACUAACAGGAUGGUCGAGCCAUUCUGGUUGAUAAUUCUGCAUGCUUCUGUUCUUCUUGGAAGUGGAGCGAUGAGACCAAGUUAUGAAGUGUUGAGAUAUGACUGAGCCUUGAUGAUGAUUUAUUUUUCGAUGUCUGCAACAUGCUGUCCUCUGGAUGUAUGGUGCUCUCAGAGACCCUUCCCACAGGGGAAGACCCUCUUGAGAGCAGGCCCGAGCUGCUCCUAUGGUUGGCAGCAAGUGCGCUGGAAGUCGUGGAGAGAAGAGAGCGGCACUUAUACAUGUUGAAGAAUUGCGUUGCUCAGCUGGUGAGUGCCCAGAUAGCUCAGAUAGCAGAGCACUGGUAUGGUUUGUCAGAGGACCACAGUUUAAUUCCUGGUC